GAAUAAUAUUAAACACAAAGUGAACCCGUCUUCCUUCAUUAAAUAGGUUCUUUUAGAUGUUAAGGAGGAAUUGACUUAACCAGGCUGGCGGAGAAUGAAGACAACCGGACACCUGCUGCAGAUGGGGAAUCAGUGAACUUUUAUUGAGACAGAGACAAACUCUCAACGCAGCUCACAUCAAGAGAUUCCAAAUAUUUGCUGUGAGGAUGGGUAUAUAUUCUCUAAAACUUACAGGAGGGGGUUGUGAGGAAAGUGCUGCAUUAGCAGAAAAACAACUCCAUAAAAGGAAAUCGGCCUUGGGUGUUCUAGUCUCUUCGCUUGCAGAUAUCUUUCACCUGCAGGAUGAGGCGAUCGCUUCUUAUCGCUCUCAAGGCCAAAGUCGUGAGCACAUUUUUAUUACACAGUUGCACAGUAACUUUAAAGCUGAACAAUAUUUAAAGCUGAAUAAUGUUUAAAGCUGAACAAUAUUUAAAGCUGAAUAAUGUUUAAAGCUGAACAAUAUUUAAAGCUGAAUAAUGUUUAAAGCUGAACAAUAUUUAAAGCUGAAUAAUGUUUAAAGCUGAACAAUAUUUUCUUCAAAUCCCCCUUUUGACCCAUCUUAAAUGGGUCAACACACAAAAAUAAGUAACAAUCAAAGGAACACAGAGACGUGUCGAAGCCUGGCUCGAAAAACUCCUCGGGUCUUUUCAUUUGUCUUUAUCUGUCAUUGCAGAUGAGGAGAAAAGAGUCCAGGCACCACCCUGCCCAGGGGUCGGCUGCAAGCAGUCUCGGUUCCCGAUGAAAGCAGUACCAGCUGUCCUGCACACAAGGUGAUUUACCAGGAACAUCUUUUCCUUUUCUCCAUGUCUUCCGCCAGAGGUUAACCCUGGUGAGAUUCAGGGACACAGCACCC
ensembl:lncRNA